GUGGAUUAGAUACCCUAGUAGUCCUAGCCGUAAACGAUGGAUACUAGGUGUUGUCUGUAUCGACCCGGACAGUGCCGUAGCUAACGCGUUAAGUAUCCCGCCUGGGGAGUACGCACGCAAGUGUGAAACUCAAAGGAAUUGACGGGGGCCCGCACAAGCGGUGGAGUAUGUGGUUUAAUUCGAUGCAACGCGAAGAACCUUACCAGGACUUGACAUGUCGCGAAUCCCCUUGAAAGGGGGGAGUGCCUUCGGGAGCGCGAACACAGGUGGUGCACGGCUGUCGACAACU
rnacentral:rRNA from 1 species